CCAGAGCUCCCAGACCUAUCACUGCACAAGGUACCCUGGACAUUAAAUUAUCGGAAAUCCGACAGUUUAACACAGUCUCCGGGUCAUCUGUUUGCUGGGGAGAAGACAGUUGAAUAUGGGUGUGAUGUAUGCCGAGACUGAGACAAAUGUCUUCCUUUAGGCAUCAAAACUAGGCAUCUGGGCUUUGUGGAGGGAUCUGCGGUGGCUCCCUGGGCUGGUGAAGGGCCAAAUCUCUGGUGCCUGAAGCCUGACUGGUCCCAGCCUCCACACCUCUGCACAGAGCGGUCCUCACAGUGAGCUGCUGAGCUGACAGCUGUCUCUUUCGGAGCCCUUUGGGUCUGCCGCCCCAUGCUGUCCCCUUGAGAGAGAAGCAUGGUGCUGUAUUGAGUGCAAUGCCCAUCACCCUGUAAUCUGGCUGUAUGAGUCCGAGUUCAGUCAAGGAAAGAGAGAAACCAUGUGUUCCACACGCCGUGACGUGACAAUAUAUCGUGAUCCUCAGAAAUCUUCCCAAUCAUUACUUUUCCAGAGAUGUGGGGGAUCUUUAUCUUUCUUGCAAAAGGUAUGGAAUCUUUGAACAGUCAAAUUAAAUAGAGUCUUAUAAAGCAUUUCCUCUCCCCAACUUACAUUGCUGAUGAGAGUAGAAGUUGAUACAGUAUUUCUGGAGGGUAGUUUGGCAAUAGGCAUCAAAACUCUUAAAAUCUGGUAUAUUCUUGAGCUGAGCACUUACUCUUCUGGGAAUUUAUCCCAAGGAAAUUAUCAGAGAUAUGUGUAUGGGUUUAUGUGCACGGAUGUUCAUCACAGCAUUAUUAACAAUAGCAAAAAAAUUGGAAACAAGAUAACUGUUUGUGUCAGAGACUUUUUUUUCUUCCAUCGUCACAUCUUUUUUUCCUCAGCAAUAACUCUGGUUUUGUAGAUGGGCACAUUGCCACCCAGUAAAGCAUUCAUACAUUGGCCAUCCCUUGUAGCUAACUUGUGGCUAUUGGAAGUGUUGUGAGUCAACAUUCACUAAGAAGUCUCUGUUCUUUGGCCAUUUCUCUUUGGCUUACUGGAUUCUGGAUGUAAUGGUUAGAUCUGAACCAUUUUGGAACACAAGGCAACACUCUAAGGAUGGCAGAAUAACAAGAAGGAGCCUGGGUACUGUGGGAAUGUCCGUGCAUGCCUUGACACUUAAUUUGCAUGAAAGAAAAUAACCUCCAAUUUAGUUUAAGCACUAUAUUUACAUUUUCCUGUUAGAAAUAGCCAAGCUUAAUCUAACCAACGCUAUGUUCAACGGCAAAGGAACGGUUAAAUUAUGAUAUAUACAUAGGGUAUAAUACCAAGCAAUUGUUAAAAUGACAUCAUAUAACACUCUAUUAACAUGAAAUAAUUUUCACAAUGUAAGACUAAGACACAACAAUAGGCUACAUUCAAAAGCAGGAUAUGAACAAUAUUUGUAAAUAUAAUUUUUGUUGUAUAUGUACAUAUACAUGUGUGUACAUGUAUAUAUAGAUGUUUUUCUGUGUGCA